AGGAAAAUUCAGGUGACAUUUCAACCAUAAGAACAGGUUCAGAAGGAUUGCUUUCCUUGUCAAAAGUUCCCACAAGGAGUGAUGUCCCAUUUGUACUAAUUUCUUGAAAACUGAUAUUAUUAGGUCUAGUGCAAGACAUGUGGUAAUUCACACCAUCUGUUUGUUCUGGAGUUAGCAAAUUUUCCUCAGAUUUGCUGAUAUGCUUUGACCCUUUGUUCAUCUUUCAUCAACAUCUGGGCUGAAAAGGAGUCCAGUUUUUACAGACUGAAUCCUAUUUUUAAAAUCUUGUUGACUUGCAAGUCAUAGUCCAACAUGUUCAUAUCUUGUCACUCCAGAACAUCUGUUUACAUCUCUGCUAUUUUUCUUCAGACUAAACUUAAGAUGAAGGGAUCUUCGGAGCUUUUCUUUACAACUUAUCUUAGGGGAGAAACAACCUGCUUUCCAUGAUUCCACCCUGAAUACGUUUUUGCUUGCAAUCCUUUUACUUCACCUCUGAACACUUGUAUUGGACAGAUUUCCACUGACAGCUAUGGAGGAGAUUGAAUUCCGAGAAGAUGUGCCAGGACUUUCUACAAAUUGAACUGAUGCAGGUGUUGAAACACCAUGGAAGAGACUACUUGAACCCAUUUUCAUGUCCUCCUAGAGGGUGUGUGUCCAUCCAAGCAUCCAACCUCCUCUGCAUCUUUUGACAUUGUGUGGAACAUUGGUGAAUAAGGUCUGCCUUUCUUUUGUUCUCACUAUAUGAUUAGGUUUUUAUUUUAUAUAAUUUAAUUUAUAUAGGUCUUUAAGUUUUGCAAAAUGUUUUAUAUACAUUGUUCUAUUAAUCCCUUACAAGAAACCUAUAAGACAUAUAUUUGGUGGAUUAUUAUCUCCUCCAUACAGGUGUGAAAACAGUCUCAGACAGUUUAAGUUACUUAUUCAUGAUUACCCAGCAAGUGUUAGAGGCAAGGUCCUGACUCCAAGUUCAUUAUUCUACCAAAUCAAACUGCCUAGAUGGUUUAAUGAAAG
rnacentral:lncRNA from 1 species